UGGGGAAUAUUGGACAAUGGGGGAAACCCUGAUCCAGCCAUGCCGCGUGAGUGAAGAAGGCCCUAGGGUUGUAAAGCUCUUUCACCAAGGACGAUGAUGACGGUACUUGGACAAGAAGCCCCGGCUAACUCCGUGCCAGCAGCCGCGGUAAUACGGAGGGGGCUAGCGUUGUUCGGAAUUACUGGGCGUAAAGCGCGCGUAGGCGGUAAUCCAAGUCAGGCGUGAAAGCCCCAGGCUCAACCUGGGAACUGCGUUUGAUACUGGAUAACUAGAGGCCGGGAGAGGGUAGUGGAAUUCCCAGUGUAGAGGUGAAAUUCGUAGAUAUUGGGAAGAACACCGGUGGCGAAGGCGGCUACCUGGACCGGACCUGACGCUGAGGUGCGAAAGCGUGGGGAGCGAACAGG
rnacentral:rRNA from 1 species